GAGACAGCAGUAGCCGCGGUAAUACGAAGGGUGCAAGCGUUACUCGGAAUUACUGGGCGUAAAGCGUGCGUAGGUGGUGGUUUAAGUCCGUUGUGAAAGCCCUGGGCUCAACCUGGGAAUUGCAGUGGAUACUGGGUCACUAGAGUGUGGUAGAGGAUAGUGGAAUUUCCGGUGUAGCAGUGAAAUGCGUAGAGAUCGGAGGGAACAUCUGUGGCGAAGGCGACUAUCUGGGCCAACACUGACACUGAGGCACGAAAGCGUGGGGAGCAAACAGGAUUAGAUACCCCAGUAGUCCCUGUCUCUUAUAA
rnacentral:rRNA from 1 species